rnacentral:rRNA from 1 species
GGCGGCAGGCUUAACACAUGCAAGUCGAGCGGUAGCAGAUCUAGCUUGCUAGAUGCUGACGAGCGGCGGACGGGUGAGUAACGCGUAGGAACCUGCCCAGUAGUGGGGGAUAGCCCGGGGAAACUCGGAUUAAUACCGCAUACGCUCUACGGAGGAAAGAGGGGCUUCGGGCUCUCGCUAUUGGAUGGGCCUGCGUGAGAUUAGCUAGUUGGUGAGGUAAUGGCUCACCAAGGCGACGAUCUCUAGCUGGUCUGAGAGGAUGAUCAGCCACACUGGGACUGAGACACGGCCCAGACUCCUACGGGAGGCAGCAGUGGGGAAUAUUGCACAAUGGGCGCAAGCCUGAUGCAGCCAUGCCGCGUGUGUGAAGAAGGCUUUCGGGUUGUAAAGCACUUUCAGUGGGGAGGAAGGCCUCGUAGUUAAUAGCUGCGAGGAUUGACGUUACCCACAGAAGAAGCACCGGCUAACUCCGUG